AUCAGUUUUAUGUUCACAUGAACGGAGCAUUUUAAAAGCAGUUGAUAGAGACGGUUAUGGCUUCUGGAGGAGUGGAAGAACUUGAAAAGCUGUGUGUGGGUUGAGUUA